GAUGAACGCUGGCGGCGCGCCUAACACAUGCAAGUCGAACGAUUAAAGCACCUUCGGGUGUGUAUAAAGUGGCGAACGGCUGAGUAACACGUGGGCAACCUGCCCCUUUCAUUGGGAUAGCCACGGGAAACCGUGGAUAAUACCGAAUACUUCUAGACUUCCGCAUGGAAGACUCGAGAAAGCUCCGGCGGAGAGGGAUGGCCCGCGGCCUGUUAGCUUGUUGGUGGGGUAACGGCCUACCAAGGCAAUGAUGGGUAGCUGGGUUGAGAGACCGACCAGCCAGAUUGGGACUGAGACACGGCCCAGACUCCUACGGGAGGCAGCAGUGGGGAAUCUUGCACAAUGGGCGAAAGCCUGAUGCAGCGACGCCGCGUGCGGGAUGAAGGCCUUCGGGUUGUAAACCGCUUUCAGCAGGGACGAGGCGAAAGUGACGGUACCUGCAGAAGAAGCCCCGGCUAACUACGUG
rnacentral:rRNA from 1 species